rnacentral:rRNA from 1 species
GAUCAUGGCUCAGGAUGAACGCUAGCGACAGGCUAACACAUGCAAGUCGAGGGGCAGCAUAAAAGUAGCAAUACUUGGUGGCGACCGGCGCACGGGUGAGUAACGCGUAUGCAACCUACCUAUCAGAGGGGAAUAACCCGGCGAAAGUCGGACUAAUACCGCAUAAAACAGGGGCACCGCGUGGUGAUAUUUGUUAAAGAAAUUCGCUGAUAGAUGGGCAUGCGUUCCAUUAGGUAGUUGGUGAGGUAACGGCUCACCAAGCCGACGAUGGAUAGGGGAACUGAGAGGUUGGUCCCCCACACUGGUACUGAGACACGGACCAGACUCCUACGGGAGGCAGCAGUGAGGAAUAUUGGUCAAUGGGCGGGAGCCUGAACCAGCCAAGUCGCGUGAAGGAAGAAGGAUCUAUGGUUCGUAAACUUCUUUUGCAGGGGAAUAAAGUGCAGGACGUGUCCUGUUUUGUAUGUACCCUGAGAAUAAGGAUCGGCUAACUCCGUGCCAGCAGCCGC